GUCCUGUAGCGCAAUGGCUUGCGAGUUGGACUUCUAAUCCAAAGGUCGUGAUUCGAAUACGACCUGGGAUG